rnacentral:tRNA from 1 species
CUGAGGUUAUAGCUCAGUGGUAGAGCAUCUGCCCCGCACGUGUAAGGCGCUAGGUUCGAUCCUCAGCACCACAUA